rfam:Operophtera brumata OBRT01_Sc05677, whole genome shotgun sequence.
UGUUCUAUGGCCGAACUGGUAAAGGCAUUUCCGAUCACAGGCAAUGUUGCGGGUUCGAGUCCCGCUAGAACGG